AAGAGUCCAACAGGAGAGAGCAGACUGCCCUGUGCCCAGCUGUGCCUCCCUGAAGAGAGACUGGUCUAUGGAGCAACCUCCUCAAUUUACAGAAGGAAGCCCCACUGGAGAGGAGAAAAGAGUCCAACAGGAGAGAGCAGACUGCCCUGUGCCCAGCUGUGCCUCCCUGAAGGGAGACUGGUCUAUGGAGCAACCUCCUCAAUUUACAGAAGGAAGCCCCACUGGAGAGGAGAAUCGACAAGAGGUGAGGUCAAAGGUUACCAGUGAUCUGCCUUCACAGCAGCCUCCAACAGAGCAGUUCAUGAGGGUUAAGGAGAACGCACACAAGUUUCUAGACGAGGAGCUGAAGAAGCUGUGGAGGGUUCACUUCCCUGAUUACCCACACUGCUCAGAAAGUCUGAGGGAG
ensembl:lncRNA